CCGGCCUGCCCUCCUGUUAAACAAAAGUUGGGGAAAUUUAAAACUGAUGUGAGCGUGAAGAUCAAAGAGGAAGUUACCAAGCAGUUUGAGGCAAAGGUCAUCCAAGUCACGCGAUAUCCCACCUGCUUAGCCAAUGUCGUGCCUAUGCCAAAGAAGGAUGGCAAAACCAGGGUAUAUUUUGACUAUCGGGACCUCAACAAAGCAAGCCCAAAAGAAAACUUCCCACUGCCGAACAUCCACAUAUUGAUUGACAAUUGUGCAAAAGAUGAGAUUGGGUCCUUCGUAGAUUGUUAUGCAGGCUAUCACCAGAUUUUGAUUGAUAAGGAGGAUGCGGAGAAACAAACUUUCAUUAUGUCGUGGGGAACAUACUGCUAAAGGAUCAUGCCCGUCGGCCUGAAGAAUGUCGGGAAAACCUAUAUGAGGGCAAUGACAACCAUCUUUCACGAUAUGAUACAUAAGGAGAUUGAGGUCUAUGUGGAUGAUGUAAUUUUAAAAUCUAGGAAGCAGCCCGACCAUGUCAGAGAUCUGAGAAAAUUCUUCCAGAGGCUCCGCAGGUACAAUCUCAAGCUCAAUCGUACGAAAUGCACAUUUGGGGUCCCCUCAGGAAAGUUGCUAGUAUUCAUAGUCAGCCGCCGAGGCAUUGAACUAGAUUUAUGAAAAAUCAAAGCCACACAAUAAUUGCCGCCUCCGAGGAGGAAAACAGAGGUGAUGAGUCUAUUGGGGAGAUUGAAUUACAUCAGUGGGUCAUUGAUCAGCUCAUGACAACCUGUGAGCCCAUAUUAAGCUGUUGAAAAAGGAUAUUGCAGUCGAAUGGGCGGAGGAAUGUCGGGGUCUUUUGAUAAAAUAAAAGAGUAUUUGUCGAAUCCACCAAUAUUGGUCCCACCGGAACCAGGGAGGCCUUUGAUCUUAUAUCUCACAGUCUUGGACAACUCAUUCGGAUAUGUAUUAGAUCAGCAUGAUUUCACUAGGAGGAAGGAUCAGACCAUAUACUACCUUAGCAAGAAAUUCACAGCCUAUAAGGUUAAGUAUACUCAUUUUGAAAGGAUGUGUUGCGCCCUAACUUGGGUAGCACAAACGAUUAAACACGACUUGUCAUCAUAUACUACUUACCUCAUUUCAUGCCUGGACCCGUUGAAAUAUAUCUUCCAGAAGCCUAUGCCCACGGGGAGGCUUGCAAAGUGGAAAAUCUUGCUCGUCGAGUUUGACAUUGUCUAUGUGACUAGGACUGCAAUGGAAGCGCAGGCAUUGGCUGAUCAUCUGGCCGAGAAUCCGGUGGACAAAGAAUACAAACCUUUAAAAAUAUAUUUUCCAGAUAAAGAAGUAAUGCAUAUUGAUGAAGUGGAAAACGAAAGGCGUCAGGAUAGGAGCACUACUCAUUUCUGAAAUACGGCACCAUUACCCAGUUGCAGCUCAACUCUGCUCCUAUUGCACCAAAAAUAUGGCAGAAUAUGAGGCAUGUAUUUUAGGUCUGAGGUUAGCUGCAGACAUAGGUGUCCUGGAAGUUUUGGUCUUGGGAGACUCGGACCUUCUGGUACACCAAAUUCAAGGGGAAUAGCAAACACGAGAUUUGAAGCUCAUACCAUACCGGCAAUUCUUGCAUGACCUUUGUGAAUGAUUCUGGUCAAUAGAGUCCAGUCAUAUCCCAAGAAUUCAUAAUGAGGUUGUUGAUGCCUUGGCUACUUUGGCAUUAAUGUUACAUCAUCCAGAUAAGGCUUAUGUUGACCCAUUGCAUAUCCAAGUCCAUGACCACUAUGCCUACUGUGAUAUGGUCAAGGAGGAUCUUGAUGGUGAGCCCUGGUUUCACGACAUCAAAGAAUAUAUUAGGAUGGGUGUGUAACCAGUACAAGCCACAAGUGACCAAAAGAGAACAAUCUAUCACUUAUCAAGCGGGUUUUUAUUCAGUAAAGGGGUGCUAUAGAAAAGAACGCCGGAUUUAUGGUUCUUGAGAUGCAUAGAUACUGGACAAGCCACAACCAUCAUGACUGAGGUACAUUCGGGAGUUUGCGGACCGCACGUGAGUGGAUAUGUUUUGGCAAAGAAGAUCCUCCGAGCAGGGCAUUAUUGGCUCACCAUGGAGCGAGAUUGUAUCAGUUUCGUGAGCAAAUGUCAUCAGUGUCAGGUGCAUGGAGACUUGAUUCACUCCCCGCCAUCUUAAUUGCAUACAAUGUCUACACCGUGGCCCUUUGUUGCUUGGGGCAUGGAUGUCAUUGGGCACAUCAGCAGCUUCCAAUGGACACAGGUUCAUCUUGGUUGCUAUUGAUUAUUUGACCAAGUGGGUCGAACCUAAAACAUUCAAGCCAGUGACCAAGAAAGCCGUGGUCGACUUUGUGCAUUCAAAUAUCAUUUGCCGAUUUGGAAUCCCGAAAACAAUCAUCACUAGAAAUGGAGCAAAUCUCAACAGUCAUUUGAUAAAAGAGAUAUGUCAGCAGUGUACGAUCACGCAUCGCAAUUCCACCACAUACCGCCCCAAGGCGAAUGGAGCAGUUGAGGUGGCCAAUAAAAACAUAAAGAAGAUACUUCAAAAAAUAGCAUAAGGGUCCAGAAAAUGGCAUAAGAAACUACAAUUUGCAUUGUUAGGCUACCACACUACUAUUCGCACCUCGGUAGGGACAACUCCGUAUUUGUUGGUGUAUGGCACAGAAGUAGAAAUACCAAUUAAAAUUAAAAUCACGUCCCUUCGGAUUGUCGCCGAGACAGAAAUCGAUGAUGAUAAGUGGAUCAAAACCCGACUGGAGCAAGUGAGCUUAAUUGAUAUAAAAAGAUUAGAGGCAGUAUGUCAUGGCUAGUUGUAUCAACAGAGAAUGGCCAAAGCAUAUAACAAGAAGGUUCACCUAAGAAGGUUUGAAGUGGGUCAGUUGGUAUUGAAGUGCAUCCUCUCUCAUCAAGUGGAGGCAAAGGGCAAGUUCGCCCCAAAUUGGCAAGAGCCGUUUAUCGUGUCAAAAGUGUUAUCUAAUGGAGCAUUGUAUCUAACGGAUGUUGAAGUCAAAUACAUAGAGAUGGCCAUCAAUUCUGAUGUAGUUAAAAGAUACUAUGUAUGGUUGUCUUUCAUUAAAUCAUAUUUCCCAGUACAUGGCAUGUUUUGUUCAUACUUGGCAUGUUUUAGAGAUUGGAAUGACAGACAUUACGGCUAUCUAAACACUUUAUCCUUUUAAGCUUUAAUUAUUUUCUUUCAUACCCCUCUUUCGAAAUCAGUAACAAAAGUCAGAAACGCAAGCGUAAGAGAUUAGUAAAAGGAAAAAGAAAAGGAAAGAAUGGAAAAGAAAGAAAAAAGAAAGAGAAGAAAGAGAGAAGAAAAGAAGAAAAAAGAAAGAAAAUAAAGAAGAAGAAAAAACAACAAAAGAAAAAGGAAGAAACAGAAUAAGGAAAAGAAGAAAAGAGAAGACCACAAAAACAAGGAAUCUGGAUGAACUACGCUUGACCUUAUUCCAUUUAAAGGAUACGUAGGCACCUCACGGUUCGGUCACAGUAAAAUAAACAUCCAAAGGUCCCCAAGUAAGAAACUGGGGCAGAAGUUGUGGUUGUUGAAAGAAAAUUUCAUUCUGAAAGUUUUAAUUUUUGAACCCAUUUGAAUUGUUUUGAGCCUUUAAUACCCUUUCUUUCAAACCCUAUCCAAAGCUUGCAUUAUGUCCAAAGAAAGACCUUCCAAUCAGUCUUUAAGAAAUGCCAAGUCAAGCACGAAGAGGCGAUUCGUACCCGGCAACACUCUAGUCCAAGCAAGAAAAGAUGAAAAUAAGAGAGUCUUAUUGGUAAAAACCCUCGCAGGCAAUGUAAGGCGAUGGGAGUCGAGAGAAAUGAAAAUGAGAGAUUCUUAUUGAUAAAAACCCUCACGGGUACCGUAAGGCGACGAGAACUGAGAGAAAUGAAAAUGAGAGAGUAUUAUUGGUGAAAACCCUCAUGGGCACCAUAAGGCGAAGGCAAGUCGAGAAAUUAACAACGGAAAAAGGGCUAUUGGUGGGAAUCUAUUCAUAACACCGCAAUAUAAGCAAGGUAUAGGUUUGGUUAAGGAAAUUGGUUUAAGGGAGGUCAAAACAUCAAAGCAUAGCAACUGAAGAUCGAUCAUUUGGACAGAUUGGGUCGACUAAGCCGAAGUGCAUGUCAUGAUCAUGGUAACUAGAUGUUUCUCCACAUAUAAGUUUCUCCUCUUUUCUACCUAGUAGUCGCCAAAUUCGGAAUUCUUUGGUUCUUAAACAAAACAACUCAGGUUCAUUGCAUUUCAUUUUCUUUUGGGUCUCAAUCCUUCUAAGAUGUUGUGAGAAUCAAUUUUGUUUAAGCAAGCAAGAGUGAAAUUUCAAAUCUUACUACCAGCUCCCCAAAUGGCGAAGAACAUGACGGCUAAAAUAUAACAAAGGCAACAAAAGAUAAAGUGGCAAAGGGAAGAAUCAAUGAAAGUUUCGUUAGUGAACUGACUUAGUACUUCCAGGAAAGAUGUAAGGAUUAGGGUCAGGAAUGUAACACAAUGAUUGGAGAACAUAGAACUUGGGUCGUCUAAAAGCCAUAGAGUUGUGGGGGUCAACCUGAACAAAUCAGGCGGCUCAUUGUCAGUACGGGAAGUUUGACAUAAUGGAGUGUGACAACAGGAAGGCCAUUUUCAGCAAGAAUGCCAUAGGCUAACCACCAAAUUUCAAACAGGCAAGAUUUUCUUUGAUUGAAAUAGGGGCAGAAACUUCCGGAAGGUCACGGGGAAAUCCUCCAUCAAAGAAAGCAAGCACCUAGCAGGUAUGAUUGUAAACCUCAGGACCCUCCUGGAAAAUAGGACUCGGUUUAAAACUGAAACAAUACGGGUAACAUAAUCUGAAACAAACAAUUCCCUAAUAGGAGUCUUCAGGACCCUCUUGGAUAAUGAGACGUAACUUUAACUGGCAAUCCCCAGUAGAGACAACCGAGAGUAAAAUUGGCAUUCUCAGGACCCUCUUGGAAAAUGGGACUUAUUUAAAGGUUGGAGAUAAUCAUGAAUAGCAAUGAGCAUAAAGUGACUUGCAUGUUGAAAUAGGAUUCAGUUAAAGAGUUGCCAGGACCCUCCUGGAAAAUGGAACUCAGUUUAAAACUCGAACAGUCACGGGUAGCAUGGUCGGGCAUAAAUAUUUCCCCAACAAGAGUUCUCAGGACCCACAUAGAUAAUGGAAUUCAAUUGUAGUAGCUUUCAGGACCCUCUUGGAUAAUUAGAUAUAGCUCUAAAUACUAAUCCCUAGCAGACAUGAUAUGGAUUUAAAAUUAGUCUUAAUUAAGAAUUGUCAGGACCCUCAUGGAUAAUGGGCGUAGCUUUAAUUACUGGUCCCCAAUAGAUAUAACUUAGAUAACUAGACAUAAUGGAAGUAAUACCUUUGGAGAACAUAGUCUAAUCUAAAGUUGUCGUCAGUUAAGAUUGUUAGGAUCCUGGUGGAUAAUGUGAUUUAGCUUUCAAAGAUGUUUGUUAACAAGAUUUGAUUAACACUCACAGAUGUACCCAGCACCACACUGGGGUAGUAAAAUUUCUAUUGUCUUGUUUGUUUUGUUGUAAUCAAGUUUAAAGGCAGCAUUUCAAGUUUGAGUUUUUGUAAUCAGGCGCCCACCUAGAGAACAAGGGAAUACAUUUCAAGUUUCAAGUUUGAUAAUCAGGCGCCCACCUGGAGAACAAGGGAAUACAUUUCAGUUUAUUUCAGUUUUUGCAAUCAGAUGCCUUCCUGGAUAACAAGGGAAUACAUUUCAAGGCGAGUUUUGGCAAUCAAGCGCCCACCUGGAGGAUAAGGGAAUGCAUUUCAGUUUUAUUCAAGUUUGAUAAUCAGGCGCCCACCUGGAGAAUAAGGGAAUACAUUUCAGUUUUAUUUUUGUCACACAUUCUUUUUACACGGCUACCCCGAAGGAUAAAACAUAUAAGGGAUUUUUUCCAAUUAAAGUGACAUUAUUCGAAAUGGGAUUACUUAUUUAUUAAGAGUCGCCACUUGGGAUAGGUUGGCUUUGGUGUCCCAAGUCACCGGUUUAUUUAGAAUCCAAAAUCGAGGAAAUAUGUGACUACCCAAAUGGAGUCUGCGAAUCAGAUAUUCUUGGUAAGGAAAUCUGUUGACCCGAGGGAAGAUGUUAGGCACCCUCGGAUCCCGCGGUUCUAGCAUGGUCGCUUAAACUAUUACAAUUGGCUAAGAUUCUAAUUUUUAUACAUGUUCAUCCUAUUAUGCAGUUUUAAAUUAUUGACCGCUUUAAUAUUUGUAUUUUUUAAGGAAAUUUACAAUGUAGCUAAAAUAUGUCGCGAACUGCAUCACAUAAAUGCGCACUAGUUUUUGAUAUUUUUUUACUUCAUCGAGAUUUGGAUUUGGAUCACAUAAAUGCGCACCCGAAUUUAGGAAGAUGAAUUGUUAAAAUAACGCGCCCAAAGCAAACUACGUGUUUUUAGCUAUGCGAUGGCCAUAAAAAUUUCAACUAAAUGGCACACUUCAAUUUCUAAAGGACUAAAAUUAAUUAAAUGAGGGCCAUGGGAUUAUGGGUUUUAUUUGGCAUGGCAUACCUCUAUUUAUUAAGCCCGAAUCUAGAAUAACUAUCAUCUUGAAAUAUUUACCAAACCAAGAUCAAAUUAGGUAGUUACUGGCCCAAUUAAUUUUUGGGUCAAAUUAGGACUCUUUACUUUUUUUGUUGGAUCUAUAGGAAUUCCUUUCAACCAAGAGGGAGGGANNNNNNNNNNNNNNNNNNNNNNNNNNNNNNNNNNNNNNNNNNNNNNNNNNNNNNNNNNNNNNNNNNNNNNNNNNNNNNNNNNNNNNNNNNNNNNNNNNNNNNNNNNNNNNNNNNNNNNNNNNNNNNNNNNNNNNNNNNNNNNNNNNNNNNNNNNNNNNNNNNNNNNNNNNNNNNNNNNNNNNNNNNNNNNNNNNNNNNNNNNNNNNNNNNNNNNNNNNNNNNNNNNNNNNNNNNNNNNNNNNNNNNNNNNNNNNNNNNNNNNNNNNNNNNNNNNNNNNNNNNNNNNNNNNNNNNNNNNNNNNNNNNNNNNNNNNNNNNNNNNNNNNNNNNNNNNNNNNNNNNNNNNNNNNNNNNNNNNNNNNNNNNNNNNNNNNNNNNNNNNNNNNNNNNNNNNNNNNNNNNNNNNNNNNNNNNNNNNNNNNNNNNGUUAAUUAAUUCUUUUGUUAAAAAGGGUCCUAAGAGAAUUCUGUGGGACAAAAUUCUAAAUGGCAUAUAUGAUUGGUCAUAUAAUCGUGCUUACAUAAACAAAACUUAAGCCUUAAAAACCCCAGAUUAUGAAAUUUCAAAAUUCCUACCACAUACUUGCUGACUUCAUAUACGGCCCAACUACGCAAAAAAUGAUGCAAAUCCUAUAAACUAAGUGAAACUUUAACCACAAAAGAAAAGAAAAAACUUAAACCACAUCAUACAGACUAACUAAUUCGACUAGCAGCUCGUGGCAGUCCAAUGACCACGACAAAUAACCAAAGCAUGGUAAACGUAGCUCCUAAAGAGAGUCAUGGUAGAGAAUCAUGUAAUAUCACAGAAACAAAUAGACUACUAAGCCAUACUAACAUAAAAGAACAAUAGCUAAUCAAAAUCAUAAAUAAGAUGAAAUAGAAACAAAAUAAAGAUAAUGAAUGGACCUUCAUCGAUGAAUCUAGAGAAUAUUACAUCUUCACUCUCAAAUCCAAAAAGCCGUGGGGGCCUGACCAAUGACCGGGGCUCGCAACCUCAUCGCGAACUUGAAUUUAGACUCCAACUCCAUGACACGCUACUUUGAGGAAGAACUACCAUGGUUGUAAUGGUCUUUGUUGCUCAUUUUUCAGAUGUUUUUGAGGCUCUUUUGGCCUGUUUCCAUUGUUGAAUUUUUAGCUUUUCAUGACUGAAGUUGGGCUGGAGAUAGGUAGCUAUUUUCAACGGCAUUUGGGGUGUUUUGAGGGGUGAUUUCACUUUAUUUUUAGGGUAAUUUGGAGCUGGAAUUUGGGGUAUUUAGGGAUGACAGUUACUGCUGGGUUUGGGGUGGUUUUUGGCUACCUUUAGGGUGAUUCAUGGCUGGAGUUUUGGUGGUUUGGAGCAGCUUUAAUGACUGCAUUUGUGGGUUAUUUUAGGUGGUGAAUUUUGGUGGUUUAGGGCCUGUUUUAGGAUGAAUUUACAGCUGGUUUUCGAGCUGUGUUUUCAUGGCUUUUUGAAAUUAAAAAUGGGGUAUUUGGCUUGGAUUUUGCACUGGUUUGUUCGGCAGUUUUGCUGCUGAGUUUGGCUUCCUUUUAUGGGCUAAAAUGAAGGUGUUUUGGAGAAGGAAGAAGGUGCUUUGAGCUGGUGAAAAGUGGUAGUUUUGAACUCGUUUUUGGUGGUUUAAUGGGGCUUUUUUUUAGGAAGAAGAGGAUUUUUUAUUGAAGAGAUUCUCAAACGCCGGCUGCUUAGGGUGUCUUUUUUUCUAUAUUGUUUUCCUGAUUGUGUUGCUGCGUUUUCCCGCCAACGUUUUGGAGCUUUUGGCGUUAAGAAGACAUGCGGUGUUGGAAUUGGGGUUGAUGGCUGCCAAUAAGUUGAUGAAGAAGACGAUGGAAUUGAGAGGAAGUGGAGCUCUUUGUUUGUUGUUUGCAGCUGAUUCUCUGUAAUAGAGUGUAGGACCUCCCUAUAUUUUAGGUGUAGAUAGUAUUAUAUAGGAUAUUGAUUAUGUUUGGGGUAUGAGCUUAUGGAUUAUAGGUUAGCGAAUUGGCUUGAAUUAUGUGGGUUUGACUAGG
rnacentral:lncRNA from 1 species